UUUGGCUCAGGAGAACGCUGGCGGCAGGCCUAACACAUGCAAGUCGAGCGGAUGAGAGGAGCUUGCUCCUUGAUUCAGCGGCGGACGGGUGAGUAAUGCCUAGGAAUCUGCCUGGUAGUGGGGGAUAACGUUCCGAAAGGAACGCUAAUACCGCAUACGUCCUACGGGAGAAAGCAGGGGACCUUCGGGCCUUGCGCUAUCAGAUGAGCCUAGGUCGGAUUAGCUAGUUGGUGAGGUAAUGGCUCACCAAGGCUACGAUCCGUAACUGGUCUGAGAGGAUGAUCAGUCACACUGAACUGAGACACGGUCCAGACUCCUACGGGAGGCAGCAGUAGGA
rnacentral:rRNA from 1 species